GUCUACGGCCCUGCCACCCUGAACAAGCCUGAUCCCAUCUGAUCUUGGAAGCUAAGCAGAGUUGGGCCUGGUUAGUACUUGGAUGGGAGACCACCUAGGAAGACUAGGUGCUGUAGGCA
rnacentral:rRNA from 1 species